CAGCCGCCGCGGUAAUACGAAGGGGGCUAGCGUUGUUCGGAAUUACUGGGCGUAAAGCGCACGUAGGCGGAUAUUUAAGUCAGGGGUGAAAUCCCAGAGCUCAACUCUGGAACUGCCUUUGAUACUGGGUAUCUUGAGUAUGGAAGAGGUGAGUGGAAUUCCGAGUGUAGAGGUGAAAUUCGUAGAUAUUCGGAGGAACACCAGUGGCGAAGGCGGCUCACUGGUCCAUUACUGACGCUGAGGUGCGAAAGCGUGGGGAGCAAACAGGAUUAGAUACCCGCGUAGUCCCUGUCUAUUAUAC
rnacentral:rRNA from 1 species